UACGUAGGGUGCGAGCGUUGUCCGGAAUUAUUGGGCGUAAAGAGCUCGUAGGCGGCUUGUCGCGUCGACUGUGAAAACCCGCGGCUUAACUGCGGGACUGCAGUCGAUACGGGCAGGCUAGAGUUCGGUAGGGGAGACUGGAAUUCCUGGUGUAGCGGUGAAAUGCGCAGAUAUCAGGAGGAACACCGGUGGCGAAGGCGGGUCUCUGGGCCGACACUGACGCUGAGGAGCGAAAGCGUGGGGAGCGAACAGG
rnacentral:rRNA from 1 species